CCUACGGGAGGCAGCAGUUAGGAAUAUUGGGCAAUGGACGAAACUCUGACCCAGCAACGCCGCGUGAAGGAAGAAGGUCUUCGGAUUGUAAACUUCUGAUCUGUGGGACGAAGAAAGUGACGGUACCACAGGAGAAAGCCAGGGCUAACGACGUGCCAGCAGCCGCGGUAAUACGUAGGUGGCGGGCGUUGUCCGGAAUAACUGGGUGUAAGGGGAGCGUAGGUGGUUGAUUAAGUCAAAUGUGAAAGCCCAGGGCUCAACUCUGGAACUGCAGUUAAUACUGGUCGGCUAGAGUACAGGCAGGGUAGACGGAAUUUCUAGUGUAGCGGUGAAAUGCGUAGAUAUCAGGAAGAACACCGGAGGCGAAGGCAGUUUACUGGACUGCAACUGACACUGAGGCUCGAAAGCGUGGGUAGCAAACAGGAUUAGAUACCCUGGUAGUC
rnacentral:rRNA from 1 species